AAGUGUUUAUUUUCAUUCUCACGUCAUUCACAGUUGCCGCGGGUUUUAUUAACUUGUACACUUGUAACAAUGUCUGCAGAGCUUCGUGCCGUUGAUAUUUGUUGGAGUACUGUGGAUGUUUCGAGUCCCAUAGUAUUGUUACAAGUUGGCCUGACUGGGAAUCGAACCCGGGACAUCAAUUGGGUGGGCAACGUGACCACCACUACGCCACGUAGGUCAUUAACCUUUAAAUACCUGAAGUUUCAAAUUUUGAUGCCGGGGUUAUAAAUCGCAUUGGGCGCCUACAAUCGAUUUUAAUAUUUGGCUGUUUACAUGUUACCAAAUGUUUUUUUCAAAAUAAAUAUAUAAAAAUAUC